GUGGGAGGCAGCCUGCUUCCCACCGCAGCUGGGAAGGGACUUUGGAAAAAUUCCUGCCAGAUGCGUUACGAUGGACUUCAUUGCUCAGAGGGAAAAUCUGCAAGCAGGGUCCUCUGCUGGAGUCCUGCUUAACCAGGUACAACCCAUUGCAUGAGAACAAGAAGAUUAUGGCAGCUGGGACUUGAGGCAGAAAGUUAAGGUUUAUCCUUAUUUCGUGAACCAUCAGGUCAGAACAUGAAAGAAUGAACAUCCACAAUGGAGAUUACUUCCUGAAGAAAGCCAUGUGUAUUUUUGUGACGCUCAUGAAGUUACAGAUGUUCAUUUCCAGCAUUGUAAUUUGCAGAAGCCUCAUUACCUGACGUAGACCAUGGAGAUGACACUCCCUUUAAAGGCAUAUUAGUGAUUUUUUUCAUUUUCUGCAUCAGGUUAGACAUGCUUGUUGGUCAUAACGGCUGGAAAUGUGCAUACUUCCUAAUGUUCGGAGUUUCUAUAUGCAAUGGUACGUAUAGCAUAAAAAUCAUAAAUAAAGAACAGA